CUGGGAGACAAGCGGCAAGAAAGCAGAAAGGGACCUGGGGUGUUGAUGACAGCAAGGAUGUUAAGGUCCUUGAAGGCAUCAAGAGGAGGGCAACAAAGCAGCCAAUUCUACAUUCCAAGCCUGGACCGCCUGUACUUUGCUGCCAUUGCUUGUGGCAGGUGUCACCAACAACCAGAGCAAAAACAGCCAAGUUCACUGCAGCAUGCCAAAAAGUGUGCCACAGCCCGGGCCCACAUCUUUGUCCGCAAGGUGCAGCCAAGCACAGCACUCCAGAAGGACAGGAAUCACCAGUGAGCAGUUCCAGCCUCCUGAUGGCUUCCAAACUGAAAUACUCUUCUUCUGUGCUUCUACCUGGCCACAAAUUGAGCUGCUGCCAUUGUAACAGGUUCUGGCCUUCCUGCACUAGUAGGUGCACCUUGCAAACACCGUGGCAUUCCUGUACACAAAGCCAAAUCUGGGCUGCACAAAAUGAGGUAGUCUGGCUGGUGCUUCUAGGUGAGCUGUUCAGACAUUGACCUGUGUGUAGUUAAACAAAUCAACCCGUCUGCAAGGAUUUGUGCGAGAAAACAAAUGACAGAGCAAACAGAGGACAGAACAGCUGUGGCAGCAGCAAGGACUGAGCCUCACCCUUUAAAGGUUUUUGAGUCUCAGUGAUUCCUAUUACAGAUGGAGUGGAAUUAGGAACCUUGAGUGUGUACUUCUGUCCUCACAGGGGAAUACCGGAGCAAAAAAACAUGCUGUUCUCACAGCUCAAUUACAAUGAGGAAAACACUGACUCUAAUGGCAAGUAAUUGUUGUCUUUGUUCUUUCUGCUCUUUUAUUUUUAAG
ensembl:lncRNA